rnacentral:rRNA from 1 species
GAUGAACGCUGGCGGCGUGCCUAAUACAUGCAAGUCGAGCGAACGGACGAGAAGCUUGCUUUUCUGAUGUUAGCGGCGGACGGGUGAGUAACACGUGGAUAACCUACCUAUAAGACUGGGAUAACUUCGGGAAACCGGAGCUAAUACCGGAUAAUAUUUUGAACCGCAUGGUUCAAAAGUGAAAGACGGUCUUGCUGUCACUUAUAGAUGGAUCCGCGCUGCAUUAGCUAGUUGGUAAGGUAACGGCUUACCAAGGCAACGAUGCAUAGCCGACCUGAGAGGGUGAUCGGCCACACGGGAACGGAGACACGGUCCAGACUCCUAAGGGAGGCAGCAGUAGGGAAUCUUCCGCAAUGGGCGAAAGCCUGACGGAGCAACGCCGCGUGAGUGAUGAAGGUCUUCGGAUCGUAAAACUCUGUUAUUAGGGAAGAACAUAUGUGUAAGUAACUGUGCACAUCUUGACGGUACCUAAUCAGAAAGCCACGGCUAACUACGUG